CAAGUAGUAGCUUACAACAAAGCAUUUAACUUACAAUUAAAAAACGCUCGCUAUCGAGCCCACUUGA
rnacentral:tRNA from 1 species